GUUCCCAUCGAUUAGUGGUCAGAUCAUCACGUUGUGGUCUACUUCCCAAGUAGCAAAACCGUGGAGACGGGGGCUCGACUCCCCCUGGGAACA
rnacentral:tRNA from 1 species